GACGAACGCUGGCGGCGUGCUUAACACAUGCAAGUCGAACGGAAAGGCCCUGCUUUUGUGGGGUGCUCGAGUGGCGAACGGGUGAGUAACACGUGAGUAACCUGCCCUUGACUUUGGGAUAACUCCAGGAAACUGGGGCUAAUACCGGAUAGGAGCUCCUGCUGCAUGGUGGGGGUUGGAAAGUUUCGGCGGUUGGGGAUGGACUCGCGGCUUAUCAGCUUGUUGGUGGGGUAGUGGCUUACCAAGGCUUUGACGGGUAGCCGGCCUGAGAGGGUGACCGGCCACAUUGGGACUGAGAUACGGCCCAGACUCCUACGGGAGGCAGCAGUGGGGAAUAUUGCACAAUGGGCGGAAGCCUGAUGCAGCAACGCCGCGUGCGGGAUGACGGCCUUCGGGUUGUAAACCGCUUUCGCCUGUGACGAAGCGUGAGUGACGGUAAUGGGUAAAGAAGCACCGGCUAACUACGUGCCAGCAGCCGCGGUGAUACGUAGGGUGCGAGAGUUGUCCGGAUUUAUUGGGCGUAAAGGGCUCGUAGGUGGUUGAUCGCGUCGGAAGUGUAAUCUUGGGGCUUAACCCUGAGCGUGCCUUCGAUACGGGUUGACUUGAGGAAGGUAGGGGAGAAUGGAAUUCCUGGUGGAGCGGUGGAAUGCGCAGAUAUCAGGAGGAACACCAGUGGCGAAGGCGGUUCUCUGGGCCUUUCCUGACGCUGAGGAGCGAAAGCGUGGGGCGCGAACAGGCUUAGAUACCCUGGUAGUCCACGCUGUAAACGGUGGGUACUAGGUGUGGGGUCCAUUCCACGGGUUCCGUGCCGUAGCUAACGCUUUAAGUACCCCGCCUGGGGAGUACGGCCGCAAGGCUAAAACUCAAAGGAAUUGACGGGGCCCCGCACAAGCGGCGGAGCAUGCGGAUUAAUUCGAUGCAACGCGUAGAACCUUACCUGGGUUUGACAUGGAUCGGGAGUGCUCAGAGAUGGGUGUGCCUCUUUUGGGGUCGGUUCACAGGUGGUGCAUGGCUGUCGUCAGCUCGUGUCGUGAGAUGUUGGGUUAAGUCCCGCAACGAGCGCAACCCUUGUUCACUGUUGCCAGCACGUUAUGGUGGGGACUCAGUGGAGACCGCCGGGGUCAACUCGGAGGAAGGUGGGGAUGACGUCAAGUCAUCAUGCCCCUUAUGUCCAGGGCUUCACGCAUGCUACAAUGGCUGGUACAGAGAGUGGCGAGCCUGUGAGGGUGAGCGAAUCUCGGAAAGCCGGUCUCAGUUCGGAUUGGGGUCUGCAACUCGACCUCAUGAAGUCGGAGUCGCUAGUAAUCGCAGAUCAGCAACGCUGCGGUGAAUACGUUCCCGGG
rnacentral:rRNA from 1 species